rnacentral:Y_RNA from 1 species
AUCUUCCUCUGGUAGUGAGGUAUCUCAAUUGACUGUUCACAGUUAGUUACAGAUCGAACUCCUUGUUCUACUCUUUCCCUCCUUCUCACUACUGCACUUGACUAGUCUUUA